rfam:Glycine soja cultivar W05 scaffold978_71, whole genome shotgun sequence.
UUAUGAUUAGACGAUGACUGUUACAUAUCACGUUCAGAUUGGACGUUGACAACAACAAUACAUUUUCAUCGUCCAUAAAGUUAACAUCCAAUCAGAACGUGAUGGUCAUCGUCCAAUCAGAAUGUGACACGUGUCAAUCAACAUUU